UACGUAGGGUGCGAGCGUUAAUCGGAAUUACUGGGCGUAAAGCGUGCGCAGGCGGUGAUGUAAGACAGGUGUGAAAUCCCCCGGGCUUAACCUGGGAACUGCAUUUGUGACUGCAUCGCUGGAGUGCGGCAGAGGGGGAUGGAAUUCCGCGUGUAGCAGUGAAAUGCGUAGAUAUGCGGAGGAACACCGAUGGCGAAGGCAAUCCCCUGGGCCUGCACU
rnacentral:rRNA from 1 species